rnacentral:rRNA from 1 species
UACGGGGGGGGCAAGCGUUGUUCGGAAUUACUGGGCGUAAAGGGCGCGUAGGCGGUUUGCUAAGUUGAAUGUGAAAACUCUGGGCUUAACCCAGAGCCUGCAUUCAAUACUGGCAGGCUGGAGUUCUGGAGGGGAUAGCGGAAUUCCUGGUGUAGCGGUGAAAUGCGUAGAUAUCUGGAGGAACACCGGUGGCGAAGGCGGCCCGCUGGGCAGGAAGACACCGCAAGGUGUCGGCUGACGCUGAGGCGCGACAGCGUGGGGAGCAAACAGG